rnacentral:lncRNA from 1 species
UACGCCAUGAAGAAAUUUCAUGACGACAAUUAUUAAUUUUUGUAACAAAGUCUCAUGAAUGUCCUUCCUGACUCUCCGUCCAGCCAGCUACAAUCGACUCCAUAAGACCCUCCUGACCAAUCCAUCUUUUGUCAAAUCUAAAUUAUCCUCAAAGAAAGCCACCACUGGACGAUGGUCAGACCCCACCAUCUUUAGAUACUCUGUAUAAGAACAUGGAAAAAGCGUGUGCCAUUCCUCAUUUGCUAGAGCCCGAUCCAAUCGACAUCUGACCGUCACUGCUCCUUUUCCUUUGCCCCUUC